UACGUAGGGGGCAAGCGUUGUCCGGAUUUAUUGGGCGUAAAGAGCGUGUAGGCGGCCAGAUAGGUCCGUUGUGAAAACUCGAGGCUCAACCUCGAGACGCCGAUGGAAACCAUCUGGCUAGAGUCCGGAAGAGGAGAGUGGAAUUCCCGGUGUAGCGGUGAAAUGCGUAGAGAUUAGGAAGAACACCAGUGGCGAAGGCGACUUACUGGACUGUAACUGACGCUGAGGCAUGAAGGCCAGGGGAGCAAACGGG
rnacentral:rRNA from 1 species